rnacentral:ncRNA from 1 species
AUAAAAGCUGAGAUCAAGAAUAGUAAAUAUGAAAAAGGUCUUUAGAGAGUCGGGGAUAGUGAAAACUUGACGAUACUUUCAUAUUGAAUGGGCUUGAGAGUUAAAAUCCGAAAAUCGAGUAGGAUUUUACGGUUUAUCGCCGUUAAAGAUUUAAGUGGGUUUUUAACCAAAUUGAGUGGUACCGCGAAGUUGCCUUUCGUCUCUUUA